rnacentral:rRNA from 1 species
GAUGAACGCUAGCGGCAGGCUUAACACAUGCAAGUCGAGGGGCAUCGCGGGUAGCAAUACCUGGCGGCGACCGGCGAAAGGGUGAGUAACGCGUGAGCAACAUGCCCGAUACUGGGGGAUAGUCGAUGGAAACGUCGCGUAAUACCCCGUAACACACGGGACCGCAUGGUUCUUUGUUGAAAGAUUGAUUGGUAUCGGAUUGGCUCGCGUGCCAUUAGCUAGAUGGCGGGGUAACGGCCCACCAUGGCGACGAUGGCUAGGGGUUCUGAGAGGAAGGUCCCCCACAUUGGAACUGAGACACGGUCCAGACUCCUACGGGAGGCAGCAGUGAGGAAUAUUGGGACAUGGCCGGAAGGCUGAUCCAGCCAUGCCGCGUGCGGGAAGACGGGCCCUAUGGGUUGUAACCGCUUUUGGCGGGGGAGCAAUAAGGUCCACGUGUGGACUGAUGANAGUACCCUGCGAAAUANNCAUCGGGCUAACUCCGUGGCCAGCAAGCG